AUUGAACGCUGGCGGCAGGCCUAACACAUGCAAGUCGAACGAGUGGCGGACGGGUGAGUACUGUCUGGGCAACUGCCUGAUGGAGGGGGAUAACUACUGGAAACGGUAGCUAAUACCGCAUACCAUCCGAUGUUCCCAGAUGGGAUUAGCUUGUUGGUCGGGUAACGGCUCACCAAGUCGACGAUUCCUAGCUGGUCUGAGUGGAUGACCAGAGACACUGACACUAAGAAACGGUCCAGACUCCUACGGUAGGCAGAAGUGGGGAAUAUUGCGCAAAGGGAGCAAGCCUGAUGCAGUCAUGCAGCGUGUACGAAGAAGGCCUUCGGGUUGUAAAGUACUUUCAGCGGGGAGGCGUUACCCGCAGAAGAAGCACCGGCUAACUCCGUGCCAGCAGCCGCGGUAAUUC
rnacentral:rRNA from 1 species